ACCAAGUUUUGGGGUUUUGCCUCGUUUUCAUUGCUAAAAUCCUAGGAAUAAGGAUAAAUCUUAAAUUUUUGAACAACUUUUUUUCUGUGUAUAUAGUCAAGUCUGCAAGGUUUAUAAUGUGUACCCUGGUUUUGUUUUUAUCAGUUAUUUUAUUACUAUUGUCAACUGUCAUGAUUCAUGAAUUCUCAUAUUUUUGUAUUUUAGUGUACAACUUUAAAUUAUUGAAGAAAGUGGUGACGAAUAAACUCAACAAAAAUCAAUUUCCAGGAAUGAUAAAUACUACGAAAUAUUCGAAUGCCGUUCUGUAUAGCCACCAGCGUUUACAUAACAACGUUCACUUUCUACGUGCCUGGAACAAAUUGCAAGUUAAAAUAUACAAUGAAAUAGCCGUGGCGUAUAAACAUCGCACUAAAGCUAAUUUCAGCGAUCCGUUUCUGUGGUCAAGCUGCGCUAAAGGAUACUAGGAUACGGAUACAGAAGGUAUUUUGACUUCAUCACCUAUGGUUCCAGGCCAUGUUGACCUUGUGGGCUAGGGUAUACUACAACUGGACACACUGAGAUGGUAAUCUGAUGAUGAUCAAAUAAUGGAGGGCAUAAGUAUCUUCUCAGACAACCAAGCAGCAAGUUAAUCGGUAGAGAGAGUGAGUUUUUCUGGGCUUCACAAUAUCCGACUUUAAUAUGGUUCAGAUCGGUUUAUAAUGUGAUAUGUCUGCCAAAAAGACCAAUAUUUUGCUCUACAACAUUGAAUAGUGACAUAUAUAUUAGACCACUCAAUGUCCGUGCCGAAUUUGGGUGCAUAAGUUAUAAACCCGAGGUGAUGGGUAUCCAAAGUUCGGCACGGCCGAAGUUAAUGCCUUUUUACUUGUUGCAAAUGGCAUAGAUCCUCACAAAUCUCGCCACUAUUAGGUGGCGAUAAUCAACGCUAAACAUUUUUUUGGAUAUUCUCGCCAGUAUUCGGACCCAGUCGUUCAGCGUUUUCAAGUACUAGGGAAUGUCCUACUAAAAGAAUUCAGCAAGUUUUAUUGCUUCAAAAAGUAAUCUUGAAAAUAAACGCGAAAGGCGAAUAUAGUACCGGCCUUCAACCAAAAAAAAAAAUCCUUUCGAUAAAACUCGGUUGAAAUUUUAAUUAGUGAAGUAUUUUGCCUUGUUUAUUAUAAGCAUGACUAUUUUUGGUGUACUUUAAAUAUAUAUUUAAAAUAUA